CAAGGGUUGGGCUGUUCGCCCAUUAAAGCGGUACGUGAGCUGGGUUUAGAACGUCGUGAGACAGUUCGGUCCCUAUCUAUGGUGGGCGUAGGAGAUUUGCGGGGAGCUGUCCUUAGUACGAGAGGACCGGGAUGGACGAACCGCUAGUGUCCCAGUUGUCCUGCCAAGGGCAUUGCUGGGUAGCUAUGUUCGGACGGGAUAAGCGCUGAAGGCAUCUAAGCGCGAAGCCCCCCCCUAGAUGAGAUCUCCCUCCUGUCCGAAAGGGCAGGACUUAAGGCCCCUUGAAGACCACGAGGUUGAUAGGCCGGAGGUGUAAGUCCCGUAAGGGAUUCAGCUUACCGGUACUAAUCGGCCGUGCGGCUUGACCUC
rnacentral:ncRNA from 1 species